rnacentral:rRNA from 1 species
AAUGGACGGAAGUCUGAUCCAGCCAUGCCGCGUGCAGGAUGAAGGCGCUCAGCGUUGUAAACUGCUUUUGGAUGGGAAUAAUAACCUCGACGUGUCGGGGCUUGAAGGUACCAUCAGAAUAAGCACCGGCUAACUCCGUGCCAGCAGCCGCGGUAAUACGGAGGGUGCAAGCGUUAUCCGGAAUCACUGGGUUUAAAGGGUGCGUAGGCGGCGCGAUAAGUCAGUUGUGAAAUUCCCCGGCUCAACCGGCGGGACUGCGAUUGAUACUGUUGUGCUUGAAUCAGGUUGAGGUAGGCGGAAUGUGGCAUGUAGCGGUGAAAUGCUUAGAUAUGCCAUAGAACACCAAUUGCGAAGGCAGCUUGCUGGACCUGUAUUGACGCUGAGGCACGAAAGCGUGGGGAGCAAA